rnacentral:rRNA from 1 species
AUUGAACGCUGGCGGCAGGCCUAACACAUGCAAGUCGAACGAGCGGCGGACGGGUGAGUAAUGUAUGGGGAUCUGCCCGAUAGAGGGGGAUAACUACUGGAAACGGUAGCUAAUACCGCAUACCAUCGGAUGUACCCAUAUGGGAUUAGCUAGUAGGUGGGGUAAAGGCUCACCUAGGCGACGAUCGCUAGCUGGUCUGAGAGGAUGAUCAGCGGCCUGGGAACGGGGACGGGGCCCAGAGUACUGCGGGAGGGAGCAGAGGGGAACAUGGGACAAUAGGCGCAAGUCUGAUGCAGCGAGGGCGCGUGUAGGAAAGAGACCUUAGGUUGGUAAAGUACUUUCAGCGGGGAGGCGUUACCUGCAGAAGAAGCACCGGCUAACUACGUGCCAGCAGCCGCGGUAAUAC